UCUGAAGCGUGCACAUCUUGUUUCCUAGGCCCACUGUGAUUUGCUCAGAGAGAGUUAGGGAGAAUGUUGGAAGCACGUUACUUAAUUCUCAGGAGUGAAACGAGAAGUAUCUUGGAGGAGGGAGACAGCCAGCCAGAGCUU